GUGGAUUCAGGUCCUACUAGUCUUACUCCUGAUGAAGCUGGGCAAAUCAGUUGGCUCUGGAGUAAUUAGUAGCCCCUUCCUCACUGACCAUUGCAAGUGCACACUGCAGCCUCAAAACUGAGUGGAGGGCCUCCUUUGGAUGACAUGAGACUGCUCAUCGUCAAGAGAACAAUUGAGUUUCUAUCUGACCUAUCUGAAAGUGGAUAGUUGUGCGACCUCAAGCAAGCCACUUCUUUCUUCUGGAUUUGGAGUUUUGUAAUCCAUAUAGCGAACCCACCCCAGUGACCCUGGCAUCUUGCUCUUUCUCAAACCCUGUAGGAGUCCUCAUGCCUCUGCUUCCAAGGCUCCUUCUAUCAUGUUCCCCUUCCCUCAGAUAUCUGCAGCCUCACUUCUUUAUGCCAAAGCGUGUAUCAUUGUUUAGCCUAUUUUACUUUUUUAAAACUUUAUUUUUAGAGCAGUUUUACAUUUAUGAAAGAUUGCACAAAAAAUAAAGUUCCCCUAUAACCCUUCCUCCCCAUC
rnacentral:lncRNA from 10 species